AGAAUGAACGCUGGCGGCAUGCCUAACACAUGCAAGUCGAACGAAACCUUCGGGUUUAGUGGCGCACGGGUGCGUAACGCGUGGGAAUCUGCCCCUUGGUUCGGAAUAACAGCGAGAAAUUGCUGCUAAUACCGGAUGAUGACGUAAGUCCAAAGAUUUAUCGCCGAGGGAUGAGCCCGCGUAGGAUUAGCUAGUUGGUGUGGUAAAGGCGCACCAAGGCGACGAUCCUUAGCUGGUCUGAGAGGAUGAUCAGCCACACUGGGACUGAGACACGGCCCAGACUCCUACGGGAGGCAGCAGUGGGGGAAUAUUGGACAAUGGGCGAAAGCCUGAUCCAGCAAUGCCGCGUGAGUGAUGAAGGCCUUAGGGUGUAAAGCUCUUUACCCGGGAUGAUAAUGACAGUACCGGGAGAAUAAGCUCCGGCUAACUCCGCGCCAGCAGCCGC
rnacentral:rRNA from 1 species